ACAGCUUUGGACAAAAGUCUAUAGCCAGUGCAUUCGUAACUCCCCAUGCACAAGAGCUGACUGUGGCUCUGGGAAGACAUUUUACUCAUUUGAUUUCUUUUUUCUUGUAGUCGUCUUGUCCAGUUCUCAGGUGUUUACCACCUAUUAGAAUUUCACCUGUAUGGGUUCUGUGUUUGAGAAAGUCCCAGGACUUGUCAGCUGUAUAGGCCUCAUAAAAGACAGCUCU
rfam:Balearica pavonina gibbericeps contig31194, whole genome shotgun sequence.